CCUACGGGGGGCGGCAGUGAGGAAUAUUGGUCAAUGGGCGCGCGCCUGAACCAGCCAAGUAGCGUGAAGGAUGACUGCCCUACGGGUUGUAAACCUCUUUUAUAAAGGAAUAAAGUGAGGCACGUGUGCCUUUUUGUAUGUACUUUAUGAAUAAGGAUCGGCUAACUCCGUGCCAGCAGCCGCGGUAAUACGGAGGAUCCGAGCGUUAUCCGGAUUUUUUGGGUUUAAAGGGAGCGUAGAUGGGUUGUUAAGUCAGUUGUUAAAGUUUGCGGCUCAACCGUAAAAUUGCAGUUGAUACUGGCAGUCUUGAGUACAGUUGAGGUAGGCGGAAUUCGUGGUGUAGCGGUGAAAUGCUGAGAUAUCACGAAGAACUCCGAUUGCGAAGGCAGCUUACUAAACUGCCACUGACAUUGAUGCUCGAAAGUGUGGGUAUCGAACAGGAUUAGAUACCCUAGUAGUC
rnacentral:rRNA from 1 species